ensembl:lncRNA
AUCUCAACGUGAACCCAUGAACCAGUGUCUACUAUGGUUUUAACUGAUUUCGGGUCAGUUUUAUUAGGUAUGUUAAUUAAACUGAAAUUAAUCAAUUGUGUUUGUACUGAUCCGUGAUCAGUGCUCACUUCAGGAUGCCUAAUCAGGUUAAUCAACUGACGUGGAAAAGGCAGCCAGGAAGUUGUGUGCCUGCUGGUCUCUUUUGCUGAUAUUAAUCGAUUGUAAAGAAAAACUAUGCCACCUAUGGGUGUCCAGCAUAACUGCAGGAUGCCAGUAAUUCUGGAACUACCUCAGCUAGUGCCAUCACCUUCAGAGACCACAGGAGAAGAAGGAGCGCUUGAUGUGCUGAAAAACAUCCUGCACAAAGUAGAGAUAUAUUCCGUCCUCGGUUUGUCAAUUUACAGAUCCCCAGAGACCGCAGAAACCACUCACCAUCUUCAUUUACCUUUCCACAUAGCAUCAGUACCGUCCCUUCCAGACUGCACACCACACGCCUGCGUGUCAAGUGUGUGAAUUCAUGCUUACUGUUGAUCUUAUUGUUUCACAUGGGAGUGCUUUAAACAUGGCUCUGACACACAUAUACAUGCACUUGAGCUAGGUCGUAAUCUCCCGCCCUAUGCAGGAAGACACAGAAGAACACUUAUACACAGAAGGACAGGACAGCUAUAGAUGUGUGUGACUGCAUAUAUUAGGAAAAAGUAUGUAACAUGAGUAAAAAUGCCUCUCCAUCUCUAUGAAUAUGAGACAGUUUGGAUUAAAGGCUUAGUUGUAUUACCUGACGCACCACCUCAGAUCAGAUUAAGAGCAUUAAGUCCUCUCGUUGUGUCUUUGAGCAGCUAAAUCCUUUCACGAUAGUAGAGUUUUCAUCGUCAGUGUUUAAGAAAAGCACUGUCUGAUGUCUGUCGAGCUCCCAGCCACGCAUCAGCAGGAGGUUUACUCAUGCUCUGUUCACUGUGUCUCCCACUCAAAUUGUUUGUUUUCCCACAAUCCAUGUGUUCCACAGUUCCAGUUCACAGUUGUGAUAGGACUGGUGAAGUUGGAAUUGACACUAACUGUUGUUAGGGUUUUUCUUCACAGCUCUCACAAUGUUACUGCUGCUGUUGUUCCAUGUGUGGUUGUUCGUACACCAGUGGUUUCUUUCUUUUUUUCAGGACAUUCCAAAUUGUUGUACUGGCUAUGCCCAAUGCUUGUGCAAUUCCUCUGAUAGAUUUUCCCUCUUUGCUUAAAAAUGGCUCACUUUUCUCCCACAGACAGCUCUCUGGUCUUCAUGUUGGUUUAUCCCAUGAGUGGUUUCUAACAAAUGCAGGCAAAUCCUAGGGCUGAAACCAAGAGUAGACAUUCAGAGCUAUUCAUUCUUUAAACAAUCAAUUUAACAGGGCACACCUGGGCAGCAAAAAACAUCAUGUUCCAAUAUUUUUGAUCUCUUGGGAAAAAAAAUGUGUGGGUUACAACAAAGGGUGCCAUGUUGAAAGUUGUUGAACACAUCUAGAUGUAAAUAUGAGGAAAUGAAAGCUGAAAUUCUGAUCUAUCAUCUCGUACUCAUCUUUUGAUCUCAAACCCAAAUGUCAUCAACAUAUCUUGAAAACAAUCAAAUUGGCCUUGCUGUCCCAAUACUGUAUAUAGACCGUAUAUAGGAGUAAGACAGUAUAUGUGUAUGUAUAGCAUUUCUAUUUUUAACCUGUUAUAUUUCUUUGUUAUUCCUUUGUGUUUAUGCCUAUGCUAUAUGUCAAAUUUUCUAAUUUACUAUAGGUCUUAUAAGAGCUGCUUUCCUUUGCAAACAUGGAACUGAUAUCCAUUAACAAUAUCCAUUUAGGACACGAACAAUAAACUGCAUUCUGUGUGUAUUUUUGGUUGAUCCUGCCUUUUUGGAGAGUAAAGUGAAG